rnacentral:rRNA from 1 species
UUGGGGAAUCUUCCACAAUGGGCGAAAGCCUGAUGGAGCAACGCCGCGUGGGUGAAGAAGGUCUUCGGAUCGUAAAACCCUGUUGUUAGAGAAGAAAGUGCGUGAGAGUAAACUGUUCACGUUUCGACGGUAUCUAACCAGAAAGCCACGGCUAACUACGUGCC